AUGCAAGUCGAGCGAGGCGGCCCGCAAGGGUCAGUCGAGCGGCGAACGGGUGAGUAACGCGUGGAUUAUCUGCCCUGAGGUGGGGGAUAACCCGGGGAAACUCGGGCUAAUACCGCAUAUGACCGUGAGGUCAAAGGGGGGUCGCAAGAUCUCUCGCCAUAGGAGGAGUCCGCGUCCGAUUAGCUAGUUGGUAGGGUAAUGGCCUACCAAGGCGACGAUCGGUAGCUGGCCUGAGAGGGUGAUCGGCCACACUGGAACUGAGACACGGUCCAGACUCCUACGGGAGGCAGCAGUGGGGAAUUUUGCGCAAUGGGCUAACGCCUGACGCAGCAACGCCGCGUGGAGGAUGAAGGUCCUUGGAUUGUAAACUCCUGUCAGCAGGGAAAAAGCAACCUGACCUCAUACGUCAGGAAGUUGAUUGUACCUGCAGAGGAAGCCCCGGCUAACUCUGUGCCAGCAGCCGCGGUAAUACAGAGGGGGCAAGCGUUAUUCGGAAUUAUUGGGCGUAAAGGGCGCGUAGGCGGCCUGACAAGUGGAUGGUGAAAUCCCUCGGCUUAACCGAGGAACUGCCAUCCAGACUGUUUGGCUUGAGACCGGGAGAGGUGAGUGGAAUUCCCAGUGUAGCG
rnacentral:rRNA from 1 species